rnacentral:lncRNA from 1 species
UAUAUAUUGUCGGAUCGUUGGUACUAAUCAUUAAUUCUAAAAGCUCGAGCUGUUAGAAAUACACAACCAAUUCACUUAAAGUGUACGGAUACAGCGCCCACGGGUCUCGAUUGUGACUCGGCCCAAUCAGCCUCACUCCACUUCGAACAUGACUAGGCCCACCUAGCCUCACACCAUUUCAAACAUGAUUCAGCCCAAUAUGACCUCCUGCCACAUGGCAGAAUAUUGGUCUAUUUAAGCCAACAAAAAUAGU